rnacentral:ncRNA from 2 species
AGGCACAGAAGAGGCGCGUUAACUAGGUAAUAAGUCGGAGAAUACCCCAUUCUUUGAUGGCUUAUGAGGGAGUUUAACGCCGAGGCAACAUACGUGGUGGUAUUGUUGUCGGUCGGUUAGGCUGAAUCCUAACGAUUGUCACCUUUUUAUGGUGGAGAGCUUCUGGUGAC